rnacentral:lncRNA from 1 species
CUUUCUCCCUUUCUCCUUUCUAUCUCCCUCCCUCUCCUUCCCCCUUAUCCUCCUGGACUCCCUUCUCUCUUCUCUCUCUCCCCUCAUCUCCUCCCCACUUCUAUCUGGUGAUGCCAUGUUACUCAGCUUUGCCUCAAACUUGCAAUCCUCCUGCCUCAGACUCUGAGUACCUGAUGUUGCAGGUGUCCAGCUACCAGCUCCCCAUUUCCUCACUAUUUCUUGGAUGGAUUUUUUUUUUUAUCUGAAAGAACUUACUCCUGUAUUUAUUCAAAAUCAUCUCCUGAAGAGAGGAUUUAUUGGAAGCCACAGAACAACAAGUAUUGCGAGACUCUUCUUAUAUGAGACCUUCAUCUUUGCCUUUUGUUGCUGGUGGUGCAUUGUCGGAUCCUACGCUGGUGAACUUUCACUUUAUCUAUCUUCAUCCUUCGGACUCCUCUUCACUCAACAUAGUGUGUUUCGGCACCCCUUCUUCAUGACUUGUUCGUGUAUUUCCACAUUCCAGGUUCUCCUGGCACUUCAACACCCAGAAUGUGGCUCUCCUUGAGAGGUCUCUUGGGCCCGACCCACAGAAAUUCCUAAGGCAUCAGUUUAACAGGCACUCCUCCCACCAGGGUGUGCUUCCCAGAGAUGUCAUCUUGCGAGAGUUGGUAGUCAAUGACAGGCCAGCACCCAGGAGCAUGCGCAUGUGCAGCAGGCACUUCCUCCCUGAGCCAAGCCACCAAGCCUGUCUGGACGCCCAGAGACUGCUGAUGGAGAGACACCUGACCCAGAGACACCAAUGAGAAAGGACAACUCAACAGAGUCAGCACCUGAGCCAAUAGGACCUAGGGAGGGGGGUAUAAAGGCAGGUCUGACUCAUUUGAUAAACGAGUCUGCAGCAUGCUCUGCUACUCACUGACUCCCAGUGCCUAGUCGUUGGUGCUGUGUCUUCUGACCUCUCCUCCAAGGGGUGUCCAAGCGGGGUAACCUCCAACAAAUGUCAACUUGAUUGGAUUUUGAAUCAUCUAGGAGACCGAGUCACGCUUCUGUGCAUGUUGGUUUCCAAAGUCUAACAGUGGAAGACCCACCAUGAUUGUGAGUGGCAUCAUCCCACCGGCCAGAAUAAAGGGAGAAAGAGAAGAAAUUCAGUUGAGGUCAGGUGUUCCUAUUCCAGAUUGCUGACCCUCAAGGAAGUGAGCCGCCUUGCUCUUCUAUGCUGUCUCAUUAUGACUGAGGCCCAACAGAUCCAGAAGACGUUGAAAUCAGACCUCUGAAAAUGGUGGCUACAAAUGACUAAAGAGGAAUUCUGCAGGCUGAGGCAGAACACUGGUACAGAUGAAGGUAGUGGGAGCAGAUAUUAAGGAAGCCAGUUGGAGCUCUCCAGGAGAUUUGCCUAAUAAAGCUGGUGUGACUCAGGACUGUGAAGGCAUCCUCAUUACCAGGGUUUCUCUGUGUAGUUUUGGAGCCUAUCCUGGCACUCGCUCUGGAGACCAGGCUGGCCUCGAACUCACAGAGAUCUGCCUGCCUCUGUCUCCCGAGAGCUGGGAUUAAAGGCGUGCACCACCAACGCCUGGCUAGAUGGAUGGCAAUUUAAAUGAGCUGUAUCAAGGAGCAAGGACACUGCUGAACUGAAGCCCUGGGACUCUGGAAGGUUUUUAUCUGUGGGUCCUGAGCACACUUUCUGGAUGAUCAGAUGACAGUUCAAUGGUGCCAUUGCCACUGAAAUGUUAGGUCUCACCACUUCGGAGGAUCUAGGUGAAGGUUCCCAGGAAGGAUCUGUGUGAAUGAGACCUGAGAGUGCUUGGCCACAGACCCACUUUUGUCUUCUCGGUGAGCCACGAAAUACGAUCACUCAUGGAAUGGGAUGAAGUUACCAGGCCCCAGGAAUGGCACCAGUGGAUGAGUGUUGCCUGACUUCAGACUGAUCUUGAGAGGCCCCUGGGCUUGAUUGUGUCUGUCCUGACAAACUGAAGGUAAACUGAAGAUACCAUGAGUUGGAAAUGCAUUGACUACAACUUUGCCACUAAACCUCACAGCAGCAAGGGAG